rnacentral:rRNA from 1 species
UCCGGUUGAUCCUGGCGGAGGUUACUGCUAUCGAGGUUCGACUAAGCCAUGCGAGUCGAAUGUAGCAAUACAUGGCGAACUGCUCAGUAACACGUGGACAACCUGCCCUUAGGACGGGGAUAAACCCGGGAAACUGGGUAUAAUACCCGAUAGGUCUCGAUUGCUGGAAUGCAUCGAGAUUUAAAGCUCCGGCGCCUAAGGAUGGGUCUGCGGCCUAUCAGGUAGUAGUGGGUGUAGCGUACCUACUAGCCUACGACGGGUACGGGUUGUGAGAGCAAGAGCCCGGAGAUGGAUUCUGAGACACGAAUCCAGGCCCUACGGGGUGCAGCAGGCGCGAAAACUUUACAAUGCUGGCAACAGCGAUAAGGGAACCUCGAGUGCCAGGUUACAAAUCUGGCUGUCGAGAUGCCUAAAAAGCAUUUCAUAGCAAGGGCCGGGCAAGACCGGUGCCAGCCGCCGCGGUAACACCGGCGGCUCGAGUGGUAACCGUUAUUAUUGGG